CUUACUGGCAGGGCGCCCACUUUCAGAUACAAAUCAACCCACCAGAGAUGUAAAUUACGUAAUAGGCUAACGAGCAUCUCUAACUUAAGCUAGCAACCGUAGAAUAGACCACCAAGUCGCUGUAAAUUCAGCAAUCAACUCUACAAUAGGUUAAAUAAGGUACAGACAUAUUUUGAUAUUUAGCCUUCCAAGUUUUCUAAGCUUUAGAUUUUUGGAGUAGCUGAACAUUGAACCAUUCAUUUGAACCUAAAUUAUACCUUUGACCCCUGUAGCUCAUGUGCUUGAGAGAGAGGGGAUAUGAAACACUACCAUGCAGCAUUCUGUAGCUUGAACUUUCAGUUUGACUUGAGCUUCACUUACUGCUUGUUAUCCACAUGUUACCUUGUAUCUGAACCUACCACCUAGUGGUAUAUUAGUUCAUAAUUGUUUGGACAAAUAAUCGACAGGAUAUGCUGAUGUUGACACGAAAGGUGGGGUCAUUCAGAUUAUAAAAAAACAUGUGGACACGUUACUCCAAUCUUACAUUUCAUCCUCACUCAGUUCAUCACGUUAAGUUUGUCUUAACAAACCAAUAUAACAUAUUUGGAUGUAUCCGUUUUCAACUCUCAAAGACUGUGAUGGAGUCAUUGAUCAUCACUACUCAACAGAGAGAGACCAACAGACCAGUUACAGCCUUCUGACUAAAGAAGGAGAUCAGCAACCCAACAGCUAUCAUAACUUGACUAAAGAGGAAGACCAUCUACAGACCAGUUAUAACACCCUGACUAAAGAGAGAGACCAGUUUCAGAAAGAGAAAGACCAGAUACAGACUAGUUACAACACUCUGACUAAAGAGAGAGACCAGCUACAGAGAAGCUAUAACACCCUGACUAAAGAGAGAGACCAGCUACACACCAGUUACAACACCCCUGACUAAAGAGAGAGACCAGCUACAGAGCAGUUACAACACCCUGACUGAAGAGAGAGACCAGCUACAGAGCAGUUACAACAACCUGACUGAAGAGAGAGACCAGCUACAGAGCAGUUACAACAACCUGACUGAAGAGAGAGACCAGCUACAGAAUAGUCUCACAACCAAAAGUAAGGAGAAAUAUCAGUUGCAGAAUUCUCUCACCACACAAACACAGGAAAGUGAUCAAUUCAGAAUAGCCUGAACAAAAAAAACUAAGGAGAGAGACCAGCUACAGAAUAGUCUAAAUACCAGGACCACAGAGAGAGACCAGCACAGAAAAGUCUAAAUAACAGGACCACUGAGCGAGACCAGCUACAAAAUAGCCUAAAUACCAGGACUACAGAGAGAGACCAGCUACAAAAUAUUCUCAUCACAAGGACCAAAGACAGGGAUCAGCAGCAAAAUAGUCUUAAAGUUAUGACUGCUGAAAGAGAUCUAUUAAAGAAUAGUCUUAACUCAAGGACAAAAGAGAGAGACCAGUUGCAGAAUAGUCUAAAUACCAGGACCACAGAGAAAAACCAGCUACAGAAUAGUCUCACAACUAAAACUAAGGAGAGAGACCAGUUUGCAGAAUAGUCUAAUACCAGGACUGCAGAGAAAAACCAGCUACAGAAUAGUCUCACAACCAAAACCUAAGGAGAGAGACCAGUUGCAGAAUAGUCUAAAUACCAGGACUGCAGAGAAAAACCAGCUACAGAAUAGUCUCACAACCAAAACUAAGGAGAGAGACCAGUUGCAGAAUAAGCUCACCACAAUAACUCUGGAAAGAGACCAGUUACAGACCAGGCUUAAGUUCUAUGGUGAGUGCAGUCUUUUAUUCUCAUAAUUUAGAAUUAUAAUUUCAUUUCAUACUUAGAAGAGAUGUAAUAUAUUUGUAGACUUUUAAAUGCCUGCUGUUCUGUUGUGAUUAUCUCAGAGAAACCCUGUCUGGAUGGAUGGUGGAAGUUUGGCACCAGCUGUUAUUUUCUCUCCUCCACGAUGAAAGGAGCUGCGAGUGGUCAGAAGGAGUGCAGAACAAUCGGUGCUGACUUGGUUAUUAUAAACAGCAGAGAAGACAGGUAAUAGAUAAUACAUUAGUAAUACUAUAAUACUACUGUUUCAUUAUUAUUGUUAUUAUUAAAAGUAUUAUUAUUAUCUAUCUUCUCUGACUAGUAUUCAACACUUGUAACCAAUUGUAUCACCAAUGUUCAUGUCACUGUCAAUUUAUAAAAAUAUACUUCCUGUCAG
ensembl:lncRNA